rnacentral:rRNA from 1 species
UUGGUUAAGUUAGAAAGGGCGCACGGUGGAUGCCUUGGCACUAGGAGCCGAAGAAGGACGGGACUAACACCGAUAUGCUUUGGGGAGCUGUACGUAAGCGUUGAUCCAGAGAUUUCCGAAUGGGGGAACCCACUAUCUUUAGUCGGAUAGUAUCCUUACGUGAAUACAUAGCGUGAGGAAGGCAGACCCAGGGAACUGAAACAUCUAAGUACCUGGAGGAAGAGAAAGAAAAAUCGAUUUCCUGAGUAGCGGCGAGCGAAACGGAAAGAGCCCAAACCAAGAAGCUUGCUUCUUGGGGUUGUAGGACACUCUAUACGGAGUUACAAAAGAAAGUUAUAAAUGAAGUGGUCUGGAAAGGCCCGCCAAAGACGGUAACAGCCCGGUAGUUGAAAUGGCUUUCCCUCCAGAGUGGAUCCUGAGUACGGCGGAACACGUGAAAUUCCGUCGGAAUCCGGGAGGACCAUCUCCCAAGGCUAAAUACUCCCUAGUGACCGAUAGUGAACCAGUACCGUGAGGGAAAGGUGAAAAGCACCCCGGAAGGGGAGUGAAACAGUUCCUGAAACCGUGUGCCUACAAGUAGUUAGAGCCCGUUAAUGGGUGAUAGCGUGCCUUUUGUAGAAUGAACCGGCGAGUUACGAUUUGUUGCAAGGUUAAGCGGAAAAAGCGGAGCCGUAGCGAAAGCGAGUCUGAAUAGGGCGCAUAAGUAACAGGUCGUAGACCCGAAACCAGGUGAUCUACCCAUGUCCAGGAUGAAGGUAAGGUAAUACUUACUGGAGGUCCGAACCCACGCACGUUGAAAAGUGCGGGGAUGAGGUGUGGGUAGCGGAGAAAUUCCAAUCGAACUUGGAGAUAGCUGGUUCUCUCCGAAAUAGCUUUAGGGCUAGCCUCGAGGUAAAGAGUCAUGGAGGUAGAGCACUGUUUGGACUAGGGGCCCUUCUCGGGUUACCGAAUUCAGAUAAACUCCGAAUGCCAUGUACUUAUACUCGGGAGUCAGACUGCGAGUGAUAAGAUCCGUAGUCGAAAGGGAAACAGCCCAGACCACCAGUUAAGGUCCCCAAAUAUAUGUUAAGUGGAAAAGGAUGUGGGGUUGCUUAGACAACCAGGAUGUUGGCUUAGAAGCAGCCACCAUUGAAAGAGUGCGUAAUAGCUCACUGGUCGAGUGACCCCGCGCCGAAAAUGUACCGGGGCUAAACAUAUUACCGAAACUGUGGAUGAACCUCUUUAGAGGUUCGUGGUAGGAGAGCGUUCUAAGGGCGGUGAAGUCAGACCGGAAGGACUGGUGGAGCGCUUAGAAGUGAGAAUGCCGGUAUGAGUAGCGAAAGAAGGGUGAGAAUCCCUUCCACCGAAUAUCUAAGGUUUCCUGAGGAAGGCUCGUCCGCUCAGGGUUAGUCGGGACCUAAGCCGAGGCCGAUAGGCGUAGGCGAUGGACAACAGGUAGAGAUUCCUGUACCAGUGCUAAUUGUUUAACCGAUGGGGUGACACAGAAGGAUAGGGAAUCGCACGAAUGGAAAUGUGCGUCCAAGCAGUGAGUGUGAGAAGUAGGCAAAUCCGCUUCUCGCGAAGCAUGAGCUGUGAUGGGGAAGGAAAUUAAGUACGGAAGUUCCUGAUUUCACGCUGUCAAGAAAAGCCUCUAGGAAGAGUAGUACUGCCCGUACCGCAAACCGACACAGGUAGAUGAGGAGAGAAUCCUAAGGUGAGCGAGAGAACUCUCGUUAAGGAACUCGGCAAAAUGACCCCGUAACUUCGGGAGAAGGGGUGCUCUAUUAGGGUGCAAGCCCGAGAGAGCCGCAGUGAAUAGGCCCAGGCGACUGUUUAGCAAAAACACAGGUCUCUGCAAAACCGUAAGGUGA